rnacentral:rRNA from 1 species
UGUCCAGACUCCUACGGGAGGCAGCAGUGGGGAAUAUUGCACAAUGGGGGAAACCCUGAUGCAGCGACGCCGCGUGAGUGAAGAAGUAUUUCGGCCUGUAAAGCUCUAUCAGCAGGGAAGAAAAUGACGGUACCUGAUUAAGAAGCCCCGGCUAACUACGUGCCAGCAGCCGCGGUAAUACGUAGGGGGCAAGCGUUAUCCGGAUUUACUGGGUGUAAAGGGAGCGUAGACGGUGAUGCAAGUCAGAAGUGAAAGCCCGGGGCUCAACCCCGCGGACUGCUUUUGAAACUGUCAGGCUGGAGUACAGGAGAGGUAAGCGGAAUUCCUAGUGUAGCGGUGAAAUGCGUAGAUAUUAGGAGGAACACCAGUGGCGAAGGCGGCUUACUGGACUGUAACUGACACUGAGGCACGAAAGCGUGGGGAGCAAACAGGAUUAGAUACCCCAGUA